rnacentral:rRNA from 1 species
AGCAGCCGCGGUAAUUCCAGCUCCAAUAGCGUAUAUUAAAGUUGUUGCAGUUAAAAAGCUCGUAGUUGAAUUUCGGGGUCAGUAGGUUGGUCGUGCCACCGGUACGUACUGGUCUCACUGAUUCCUCCUUCCUGAAGAACCGUAAUGCCAUUAAUUUGGUGUUGCGGGGAAACAGGACUGUUACUUUGAAAAAAUUAGAGUGUUUAAAGCAAGCUAACGCUUGAAUACAUUAGCAUGGAAUAAUGAAAUAGGACGAUCGAUCCUAUUUUGUUGGUUUCUAGGAUUGACGUAAUGAUUAAUAGGGAUAGUUGGGGGCAUUAGUAUUCAAUUGUCAGAGGUGAAAUUCUUGGAUUUAUUGAAGACUAACUACUGCGAAAGCAUUUGCCAAGGAUGUUUUCAUUAAUCAAGAACGAAAGUUAGGGGAUCGAAGACGAUCAGAUACCGUCGUAGUCUUAACCAUAAACUAUGCCGACUAGGGAUCGGAUGAUGUUAAUUUAUAAUGACUCAUUCGGCGCCUUAC